AAAAUGGCAGAGGUAAAAAUGGCAGAGGUAAUAAUGGCAGAGGUAAAAAUGGCAGAGGUAAGAACAGCAGAUAUAAAUAGAGCAGAGGCAUAAAUGACAAGAGGUAAAAAUGGAAGAUGU